CUGCUGAAAAAUAUAGAUAGCUUAUAUAAAAUUGGAAUGAUACGAAGAUUAGCAUGGCCCCUGCACAAGGAUGACAAAUUCGUGAAGCCAGAGAUAGCUUA
rnacentral:snRNA from 1 species